UGAGUUGGGCGCAAGCCUGAUCCGCCCUGCCGCGUGAGUGAAGAAGGCCUUCGGGUUGUAAAGCUCUUUCGGCAGGAACGAAAUGGUACGUGCUAAUACCACGGACUGAUGACGGUACCUGAAGAAGAAGCACCGGCUAACUACGUGCCAGCAGCCGCGGUAAUACGUAGGGUGCAGGCGUUAAUCGGAAUUACUGGGCGUAAAGCGUGCGCAGGCGGUUUCUUAAGUCAGAUGUGAAAGCCCCGGGCUUAACCUGGGAACUGCGUUUGAAACUGGGAGACUUGAGUGUGGCAGAGGGGGGUGGAAUUCCACGUGUAGCAGUGAAAUGCGUAGAUAUGUGGAGGAACACCGAUGGCGAAGGCAGCCCCCUGGGCUAACACUGACGCUCAUGCACGAAA
rnacentral:rRNA from 1 species